GUGAGGAAUCUUAGACAAUGGGGGAAACCCUGAUCUAGCCAUGCCGCGUGAUCGAUGAAGGCCUUAGGGUUGUAAAGAUCUUUCAGGUGGGAAGAUAAUGACUGUACCACCAGAAGAAGCCCCGGCUAACUACGUGCCAGCAGCCGCGGUAAUACGUAGGGGGCGAGCGUUGCUCGGAUUGACUGGGCGUAAAGCGCGCGUAGGCGGUCCAUUAAGUGUGCGGUGAAAUUCGGAGGCUCAACCUCCGUCCCGCCGCGCAAACUGAUGGUCUUGAGAUUGGGAGGGGGAUGCGGAAUUCCUGGUGUAGCGGUGAAAUGCAUUGAUAUCAGGAGGAACACCGGCGGCGAAAGCGGCAUCCUGGCUUAUAUCUGACGCUGAGGCGCGAAAGCGUGGGUAGCAAACGGGAUUAGAUACCCGAGUAGUCC
rnacentral:rRNA from 1 species